CGCGCAGGUGGUUUCUUAAGUCUGAUGUGAAAGCCCACGGCUCAACCGUGGAGGGUCAUUGGAAACUGGGGAACUUGAGUGCAGAAGAGGGAAGUGGAAUUCCAUGUGUAGCGGUGAAAUGCGUAGAGAUAUGGAGGAACACCAGUGGCGAAGGCGGCUUCCUGGUCUGUAACUGACACUGAGGCGCGAAAGCGUGGGAGCAAACA
rnacentral:rRNA from 1 species